rnacentral:rRNA from 1 species
UACGUAGGGUGCAAGCGUUAAUCGGAAUUAUUGGGCGUAAAGGGCGCGUAGGCGGUGCGGUAAGUCACCUGUGAAAUCUCCUGGCUCAACUGGGAGCUUGCAGGCGAAACUGCCGUGCUGGAGUGUGGGAGAGGUGCGUGGAAUUCCUGGUGUAGCGGUGAAAUGCGUAGAUAUCAGGAGGAACACCUGUGGCGAAAGCGGCGCACUGGACCACAACUGACGCUGAGGCGCGAAAGCUAGGGGAGCAAACAGG